ACUGGGAGGGGAGACAUGUUUACAUGUUCUCACCUCCCCCACCAUUUUUCAGGUAUUGCAGGCGAUGAGUUUUGGGACGAGACGUGAGGUACGUUCGUAGCGGUCGAUAGAGCUUCCGACCCAGGUUAUCGAUUUAGUUUUUAUCCUUACUAUUCUGUUGUUAUAGCUUAGUUAGUUUAUAUGGUUAAGUUAGAUGAUCAUACUUGAUGUUUGAAUGUUGUGAGCUGGUUGAAUUUGUGGAUUUGUGGAAUUGUGGAUUUGGUUUAUGGAUCUUCAGUUUUGGGAUGUUUGUAUACUUUGUGGUUCUCGGAUUUGUAUUUAUGGAUUUACGCAUCGUGGUUUUCUACCCCUCGAGGUAGUCGGUUUUCAAAAUAGAGUUUCCGUGUGGGAAACAGUUUUUAAAAGAUUUUUGAAUGAUUUUCAUGUAUGAAUGAAUUAGAUUUUAAAAACAAAAGCUUCUGUGUGGAGAGCACUUUUAAAUAGGAUGAUUGUUGUACUGUGCAUUGCAUCAUCCAGCGUCUAAGGAGUGUUUAGAGGCAUGCAUCAUCUCUAAAGAUUGUUAGCUGUAUGAAAAUGCAUAACAUGAAUUGGUUGCUGAUUGGUAAAUGUAGGUUGUGGUUGUGAUCCUGUUGUAUCCGUUGGUACGCCGUGCAAAUACAAAGGAGACUCUGUCCGAGUGAACAGAUGAACUUUGUAUUUGUGGCGGGUAUGUACGUCACGUGGGUCAGGUUGGAAAAAAAAAAAA
rnacentral:lncRNA from 1 species